AUUGAACGCUGGCGGCAGGCUUAACACAUGCAAGUCGAACGGAACCUUCGGGUUAGUGGCGAACGGGUGAGUAAUACCUAGGAAUCUGCCUAUUAGUGGGGGAUAACGGCUCGAAACGGGUCGCUAAUACCGCAUACGUCCUACGGGAGAAAGCAGGGGGACCUUCGGGCCUUGCGCUAUCAGAUGAGCCCAGGUCGGAUUAGCUAGUUGGUGGGGUAAAGGCCCACCAAGGCGACGAUCUGUAGCGGGUCUGAGAGGAUGAUCCGCCACACUGGGACUGAGACACGGCCCAGACUCCUACGGGAGGCAGCAGUGGGGAAUUUUGGACAAUGGGCGCAAGCCUGAUCCAGCCAUGCCGCGUGCGGGACGAAGGCCUUCGGGUUGUAAACCGCUUUCAGCCGGAAAGAAAUCGCCGUUUUUAAUACAGACGGUGGAUGACGGUACCGGAAGAAGAAGCACCGGCUAACUACGUG
rnacentral:rRNA from 1 species